AAGUGGUAUAUUCAUCUUAUUUGUCGCAUAACUGUUCUUAUUCACCCCAGGAUAGCAUCUUUCCAGUGAUAGCUGCUGAUGCCUCUCCCGUGUGUCUUGUUUUUAAGUUGUGAGCCACUUUGGGGCAGGGAACCAUUUUCUCAUGCAUUUGCUACAUAAAAUGCUUUGAGAAAUUUAUUUUGCUGGAAACAGGUAUAUAAAUAUUAAUAGUCAUGAUUAUCCUAUUUCUGAAAAGAAAAGGAAAGGAGAAGAAAAGAAAAGAAAAUCCCUCAGAUCACUUGGAAGAUAAAUUGUCCAAUGAUUCAAAGAUGCCUGUUUCUUAAUUUGUUAUAAGCCUGUGCGGGUCUGAGACUGUAACAAUAAAGAUCGAUUAUUUGAUUGAUAUAAGCGCAUAAUUGUUGGUAAACCUGUCCCACACAGCUUGUAGUGUUGUGUUAUGUUUCAGUUAUAUUUAUGGUACUGUGUUUAAACCUUAAGAAGAGACAAAGAACCUGGUCUGUUUCAACAGGAAUUCUUCUUUCCACCCAAAUAUCUACUAAAAUCACGUGGUACCCCAGGCAAGAAGGAUGAUGAAGUCUCUUUUGGAAAUGUACUUUCCUUUCUAGAAGACCCAAUUUAGCCAGCCUUCUUUCUUUCUGAGGGAAACACUUGUGGUCUUGAAUAUUAUCAAGAUUAAAUUUCAAAAACUUAAGUGUAGUCUAAGAACAUAUGUUGUGGUAACUUUUUUACCUCAUAAUAACCACAGAAAGGGGUCCUCCUGAGAACCCAUCUUGAAUGUUAUCAAGAUUACGCUUUGAAAACGUUAGUGUUGUGGUAACCGUUUUUUUACCUCAUAAUAACCAGAUAAAGAGGUCCUCCUGAAGAACACGUGCAAGUAAUAUAUAAUUAUAAAUGUCUGAAAACAUUAUACACUGUAUAUAAGUAUACAUGAUAAUGAUAUACAGGGGUUGACAUGAUGAAGAAAACUACUCAGAGUUGACCCAUUGGCUUUGCCUAACUUAUCCUUUCUAUUUCAGCAUGUCAGCAAUUGUAUAAUGUUUUUAUCAUAAUUCCGUUGCGUUGUUUUUAAUUCUUACCUGCCUUGAGCACAAUUCUGUUGUAGAAAGGCAGGAUAUAAACAAGAGUGAAAGGCUGCAGCCCUAAACCCAGCCAGCAAAUUUUGUAGGCCUUAAAACACGUUUUUAAAAGCUGGUUAAUCUUCCAAAAGGUGUUCAAUCGUCCUUCCUAUAUAGUGUGAUGGAGGAGGCUGCACUGGGAUUCUGACAGGAUUUUUCCCUCCUUUUUAGCUAUAUUUUAUGAAAUAGGUUUCCAGCCCUCAUGGUACAACAAUAAGUUUAUCAAGUAAGUGACAAUACAGUGUGUGAAUCCCUCAAAUUAAACACAUCGAGUGAGUAUAUUUCUCCCACAGUCCUCAAGCCUCUUGGAGGCCCAUCCCGGCCUCAUUCAUAGCCUCAUAAUUCAAUCCUCUCAGUUAGUAUAAAAGCAGGAUUGCCAACUCUGAGUGAAGCUCUUCCUGGAGAUAUUUUCCCUUCAUGGUUUUGCUUUCUUUCUUAGUGUCAGACCAUUAACACCUCCAAGACUGCUUUCAGUCCUCACCGGGAGGCUGGAGCUGAUUCUGGGAGACUCCUGGCCAAUCCUGGGGGUCUGGUAGCCCAGAUGGCCAUGGCGACCCCCUCAGCACCACUGCCAAGGAGCAGGCCUGGGAGCCAUUUCUGCCCAUUUCUCAGUCCAAAAUCAAGCUGGGGCAUUUAAAAACAAAAAAAAGAGAGAGAGAGAGAGAGGAACCUAGAGGAGUAUACUGUCUCUCUGUAUUUGAAUACGUGACCACUUUGGUUUAUAUAAAUCAAUAAGCACCACCUCGGGGUGAAAACCUGGUAGCCCCAUUUCUAGCCAUUCUCCUCAGGCUGGCCAGGCUGGGAAGGUGGAAUCAGGGCAGGGAGGGUGCAGCUGGGCCUUCAAUUCAAAAACAAUUGCAGGAUAUUCUAGGCCACAGAACAAGCCUUUGAAAUAUCCCUAAUACAUUUCCCAACAACUCUUCAAUAGAUAAUCCGUAAACUAUACAAAGAGAACUUUGCACUGGGAUCCUGAGGUGGACAGCUCUUUUGGCUGCUGGUUGAAAGAAAGGUGUCAUGAGGUGGCAGUUUUGGAAGUUGGACAAUCCAGCCGUCAGUUCUGGCCUAGGAAUCUGGUGCGCCAUCAUCAGGACUCUUGCACAGGCCAGUUACUAGCAUCCAUUCCCCUACCAACGCUGGUGACAUUGGCACAAGGUUCCAAGGAGGUCAGAGAACUAAAAGCAAGCUCAGUGAGGACCAGAACCUCUCUGCCUAUCUAACGCGGCUGUGCCUCUACCAGGUCACUAGCCCUGAGGCUGGCACAACAUGGGCCAAAGCUGCCAGGGACCUUUCACUACGGCCACUGCAUGCCGGAACAGCUGCCUGAAGCCGUCACCACGUCACCUCCAUCUCACGGCCGAAAUGCCUGAAGACGUCGCUGCAGGAGCAAAAGGUCUCUGUGCACUGCGCUCUACUAAAGGUCAUGUGUCUUUUAUCCGUUGCAUCUGGUUUUGCUUUGGGAGAUAUUGAGACCUGGGCCACGCAAAGCAGAAAGGUGGAUUUGAAGGAUAACUCUGUGGAUCUGGGCCCCUGGCUUUCUGCACGCAGGAAAAUAAAAUGGAACUGCAGAUCCAGCAAGGAUAGGAAAGCAAGAGUGAUGCAGGCAGAUGGACGAGGCAGAUAUCGCCAAGGUGUGCUUGUGUGCAUGGAUAUGCAGAAUCACGUGGAAGUAAGCAAGUGGGGUUUAGGGUAUCUUCUGAUAGAUGGACUUUAUGACAGUCUUUGACCAGUACAGAAGCAUGGAGAAAGGAACACAGAAAGCAACAUCUGCCCAUUGCCAGCUCAUAACAGCUUAUCGUCACAACACCAAACUUGAAUCUAGUUUUGUUUUGUUCAAUACUUGCCGUUGGCUUUGUUCAGUACUUGCUGGUUUUUUUUUAAUGUUGAGUUCAAAAUUAGCAAUGCCGACAAGUGGAAAACUUCAAUUAUCCCCCCGCCCCCCCAGUUCUGUCCAGUGACACUGUUUACCUAGCUGUUCUUUCUUCUCCCCUCCUGACCUAGUCAGGUGGUUGAUUCCACCCAAUCAGGGAUGAGAUAGUUAUGUUCCUGGCAGCACCUGCCAUCACUAGAUGCUACAUGGACUGACCCUUCCCAUCAGUUUCCAAUUCAUGGUGAGGUCACUGAGGGCAAGAGAGGAUGGAUGAUUUAAAUGAAGGAACAAACCAUUUCUUAAGGAGCAGGAGUGGCAGAAGUCAUGAAGCAGGGAAGGCAUCUUUUAGCAGUGGUGAAACUGUUAACAAAAAUGUCAAGCCACUUAAAUCAGUCCAGGUUUAGCAGUGCUGGAAGCAGGGAAGUAGUUGGGAAACCUCUCCUGAGAAAAGUCACCCUUAGCAAAUUAAAAAGGGAGAUUCGUCACGCAAUAUUUGUUGGCCUGUGACUAUGUCUAAGAACAUGGAUGUACCCUCAUGUGUAUGCUGCUGAUGCAUGUUGUGGAUGGCAUCCCUUUUAAUACAACCCUUGAUACUAUCAACCUUAAAUUAUACCUUCUUAACAUGAACUCUUAGUACUUGGAUUGAUACUGAAACUUGACAAAAAGUAAAAUUUGCAGUGUAUUCUGGGCAGGACAUCUGAGAAUUUUCAAAGGAGAACCGUUUUUCUUAAGUUGAGUGAAAUUUCUUGGGGUUUCGGCACAUCCCUACGUAACAUUUAUCUGCACCUUUUAAAUAAACUUCCGAAAGCA